rnacentral:rRNA from 1 species
UGGUCUUGACAUGGGGGUGAAAGGUUCCAGAGAUGGAAUCCCUUCCUUCGGGAACGCCCUACACAGGUGCUGCAUGGUUGUCGUCAGCUCGUGUCGUGAGAUGUUGGGUUAAGUCCCGCAACGAGCGCAACCCUCGUCCUUAGUUGCCAUCAGGUAAUGCUGGGAACUCUAAGGAGACUGCCUGGUUUAACCAGGAGGAAGGUGGGGAUGACGUCAAAUCCUCAUGGCCCUUACGACCAGGGCUAGACACGUGCUACAAUGGUCGGUACAGAGGGCUGCUAGGUCGCGAGACUGAGCUAAUCCCUUAAAACCGAUCUCAGUUCGGAUUGGAGUCUGCAAUUCGACUCCAUGAAGUUGGAAUCGCUAGUAAUCGCGGAUCAGCAUGCCGCGGUGAAUAUGUUCCCGGGCCU